rnacentral:rRNA from 1 species
AUUGAACGCUGGCGGCAGGCUUAACACAUGCAAGUCGAACGAGUGGCGGACGGGUGAGUAAUGCUUGGGAAUCUAGCUUAUGGAGGGGGAUAACUACGGGAAACUGUAGCUAAUACCGCGUACCAUAGGAUGAGCCCAAGUGGGAUUAGGUAGUUGGUGCGGUAAAGGCUACCCAAGCCGACGAUCUAUAGCUGGUCUGAGAGGAUGAUCACCCACAUUGGGACUUAGACACGGCCCAGACUCCUACGGGGGGCAUCAGGUGUGAAUAUUGCACAAUGGGCGCAAGCCUGAUGCAGCCAUGCCGCGUGUAUGAAGAAGGCCUUAGUGUUGUAAAGUACUUUCAGCGGGGAGGCGUUACCCGCAGAAGAAGCACCGGCUAACUCCGUGCCAGCAGCCGCGGUAAUUC